rnacentral:snRNA from 1 species
GGAUGUGAGGGCAAUCUGGCUAUGACAUUUGCACCUCACUGACCAUCAGGGUUGAUUCAGCUGCUCUGGCUGGCUAGGCGAGCGUCCUCUUCCUUCCCACUGCUUUAUGCACGUUCCUCCUGAGUGUGCGUGCCAGGUCUAAGAGGAUGACCAUCCUGGACAGAGGAAAACCAAUCUUCAGUCAAGGGCGUACGAAUAGCUUCGCUCCCCUGCUAGAACCUCCAAACAAGAUCUUCAAUUUCUAACAAUGCUUCCUCAAUGUUUUAAGGAAGAACUUCCCCUUGAGAAAGAAAAGUAGCUCAGCCGGGCUCGGUGGCUCACGCCUGUAAUC